rnacentral:rRNA from 1 species
GACGAACGCUGGCGGCGUGCUUAACACAUGCAAGUCGAACGGUAAGGCCCCUUCGGGGGUACACGAGUGGCGAACGGGUGAGUAACACGUGAGCAACCUGCCCUUGACACUGGAAUAACAGUUGGAAACAGCUGCUAAUGCCGGAUACGACCUUCGGUGGCAUCACCUGGAGGUGGAAAGUGCUUAGCGGUCAAGGAUGGGCUCGCGGCCUAUCAGCUAGUUGGUGAGGUAACGGCUCACCAAGGCUUCGACGGGUAGCCGGCCUGAGAGGGCGACCGGCCACACUGGGACUGAGAUACGGCCCAGACUCCUACGGGAGGCAGCAGUGGGGAAUAUUGGACAAUGGGCGCAAGCCUGAUCCAGCCAUGCCGCGUGUGAUGAAGGCCUUAGGGUUGUAAAGCACUUUCAACGGUGAAGAUAAUGACGGUAACCGUAGAAGAAGCCCCGGCUAACUUCGUGCCAGCAGCCGCGGUAACAC